rnacentral:rRNA from 1 species
UAGGGAAUCUUCCGCAAUGGGCGAAAGCUUGACGGAGCAACGCCGCGUGAGUGAUGAAGGUCUUCGGAUCGUAAAACUCUGUUAUUAGGGAAGAACGAAUGUGUAAGUAACUAUGCACGUCUUGACGGUACCUAAUCAGAAAGCCACGGCUAACUACGUGCCAGCAGCCGCGGUAAUACGUAGGUGGCAAGCGUUAUCCGGAAUUAUUGGGCGUAAAGCGCGCGUAGGCGGUUUUUUAAGUCUGAUGUGAAAGCCCACGGCUCAACCGUGGAGGGUCAUUGGAAACUGGAAAACUUGAGUGCAGAAGAGGAAAGUGGAAUUCCAUGUGUAGCGGUGAAAUGCGCAGAGAUAUGGAGGAACACCAGUGGCGAAGGCGACUUUCUGGUCUGUAACUGACGCUGAUGUGCGAAAGCGUGGGGAUCAAACAGG